rnacentral:rRNA from 1 species
AUUGAACGCUGGCGGCAGGCCUAACACAUGCAAGUCGGGCGAGCGGCGGACGGGUGAGUAAUGUAUGGGGAUCUGCCUGAUGGAGGGGGAUAACUACUGGAAACGGUAGCUAAUCCCGCAUACCAUCAGAUUAACCCAUAUGGGAUUAGGUAGUUGGUGGGGUAAAGGCUACCCAGGCCGACGCUCUCUAGCUGGUCUGAGAGGAUGACGGGCCACACGGGGACUGGGAAACGGCCCAGACUCCUACGGGAGGCAGAAGUGGGGAAGAUUGGGCAAUGGGGGAAACCCUGACGCAGCAAUGCCGCGGGAAUGAAGAAGGCCUUCGGGUUGUAAAGUUCUUUCGGUAGCGAGGCGUUAACUACAGAAGAAGCACCGGCUAACUCCGUGCCAGCAGCCGCGGUAAUAC